GCCCAGACUCCUACGGGAGGCAGCAGUGGGGAAUAUUGCACAAUGGGGGAAACCCUGAUGCAGCAACGCCGCGUGAGUGAAGAAGUAUUUCGGUAUGUAAAGCUCUAUCAGCAGGGAAGAAAAUGACGGUACCUGAGUAAGAAGCCCCGGCUAACUACGUGCCAGCAGCCGCGGUAAUACGUAGGUGGCAAGCGUUGUCCGGAUUUACUGGGUGUAAAGGGCGUGUAGCCGGGUUGACAAGUCAGAUGUGAAAUCCUGCGGCUUAACCGCAGAACUGCAUUUGAAACUGUUGAUCUUGAGUACUGGAGAGGCAGACGGAAUUCCUAGUGUAGCGGUGAAAUGCGUAGAUAUUAGGAGGAACACCAGUGGCGAAGGCGGCUUACUGGACGGUAACUGACGUUGAGGCUCGAAAGCGUGGGGAGCAAACAGGAUUAGAUACCCCGGUAU
rnacentral:rRNA from 1 species